rnacentral:rRNA from 1 species
UGUUGGAGAGUUUGAUCCUGGCUCAGGACGAACGCUGGCGGCGUGCUUAACACAUGCAAGUCGAGCGGAAAGGCCCUUCGGGGUACUCGAGCGGCGAACGGGUGAGUAACACGUGAGUAACCUGCCCCAGGCUUUGGGAUAACCCCGGGAAACCGGGGCUAAUACCGGAUAUGACCAUCUGUCGCAUGGUGGGUGGUGGAAAGAUUUUUUGGCUUGGGAUGGGCUCGCGGCCUAUCAGCUUGUUGGUGGGGUGAUGGCCUACCAAGGCGGCGACGGGUAGCCGGCCUGAGAGGGCGACCGGCCACACUGGGACUGAGACACGGCCCAGACUCCUACGGGAGGCAGCAGUGGGGAAUCUUGCACAAUGGGCGGAAGCCUGAUGCAGCGACGCCGCGUGAGGGAUGACGGCCUUCGGGUUGUAAACCUCUUUCAGCAGGGACGAAGCGUUUGUGACGGUACCUGCAGAAGAAGCGCCGGCCAACUACGUGCCAGCAGCCGCGGUAAGACGUAGGGCGCAAGCGUUGUCCGGAUUUAUUGGGCGUAAAGAGCUCGUAGGCGGCUUGUCGCGUCGACUGUGAAAACCCGUGGCUCAACUGCGGGCUUGCAGUCGAUACGGGCAGGCUAGAGUUCGGUAGGGGAGACUGGAAUUCCUGGUGUAGCGGUGAAAUGCGCAGAUAUCAGGAGGAACACCGGUGGCGAAGGCGGGUCUCUGGGCCGAUACUGACGCUGAGGAGCGAAAGCGUGGGGAGCGAACAGGAUUAGAUACCCUGGUAGUCCACGCUGUAAACGUUGGGCGCUAGGUGUGGGGG